UACCAACACCCCGAGUGGUCGGGGCGAUUAUCGGGCCUAAAGCAUCCGUAGCCGGCCUUACAAGUCCUCCGUUAAAUCCAGCUGCUUAACAGAUGGGCUGCGGAGGAUACUAUAAGACUAGGAGGCAGGAGAGGCAAGCGGUACUCAGUGGGUAGGGGUAAAAUCCGUUGAUCCAUUGAAGACCACCAGUGGCGAAGGCGGCUUGCCAGAAUGCGCUCGACGGUGAGGGAUGAAAGCUGGGGGAGCAAACCGG
rnacentral:rRNA from 1 species